AUGAAAAAAAUACGUCUUUAAAUUGCAGAUAUUUAACGUUUUCUUAGAAACUAUUUUAAUAUUACAGUGACAUUUUGAAACAGGUCAAAGAGAAGGGUUUAUAAUCUUUUCAGGAAAAGAAAGUUUUAUCUCCCUUGAGACAGUGCAUAUGGUGAAUAAAACCUGUCCUGUCAUGUGUAGAUUUUCACUUAUACAAUUAAAUAGAAAUGGAGCAUUUAGAGAAGUAGUAAAAGUAACUUCGUAAGGAAAAUCUUUUAUUUCUGUAAGUAUUUAUAGAUGUAGGAGAACUUACCUGUUUUAAAACAUUUUCUUUUUAUCAUCUCUUGCUAUGUUACAGACAAUAGUCUGCAAAUAGCAGAAAGAUCUAUUAUUAAUUUUCUAUUUUUCAAGACACUUUGGAACCUGUAGUCAAGAUCAGUAAUCUCACUUUGCUGCAAAUUGUCUGCUGCACAAAACCAUCAGGUUUUGUACAGCAGUUUCGCAAAUGAGAAGAUUUACAUCUCCUUAACUGAAGAUACUUUGCUAAAAGUAGAUAUGUGGGAAUAUUUCUUUUCAAAAGGAAGAACUUCAGUCUAAAAGCUAGGAAAAAAGCUAAAACAUAACACUGUGUGCAAGGUUGACUUUGUGUGGUCUUUUCACUUGUAUCUAGAAUACUGACUGUUUUAUUUCCACAUGUGCUGGUGUUUUUUUAAAAAUGCAUUGGUGCAAUUCCAGAUAACAUAAUUACUUAGUAAUUCAAAGUCUUGUGAAUUUUAUAAGUAGAGUGUUUCAGUUGGAAGGGGCCUACAGUGAUCAUCUAGCCCAUCUGCCUGACCACUUCAAGGCUGACCAAAAGUUACAGCAUGUUAUUUAGGGCAUUGUCCAAAUGCCACUUAAACACCAGCAGGCUUGGGUCAUUGACCACCUCUUUAGGAAGCCUGUUCAAGGGUUUGACCACCCUCUCAGUAAAGAAAUGCUUCUCAGUGUUCCAUCUAAACCUCCCAUAGUGCAGCAUUUAACCAUUUUCAUGUAUCCUAUCACUGGAUACCUGGGAGAAAAGCUCAGCACCUCUGUCUCCACUUCCCCUCCUCAGGAAGCUGUAGAGAGCAGUCAUAUAUGCCAGUCAUUUGCUAGGAUCUGGGAGUGAGAAAUUGCUAUUCUUCUUCUGAGGAAAAGAAUCACAGUGAUUUUGUUCCUUCAUUAAGACAUUUUUAUUUUAUUCAUAUUUGUUCUUUCCAGUAUCUCUAUUAAAUCUCUGUACCUCUCCUCCCAGAUAGUGGAUAUUUUUGUUGUGGGGUUUUUUUUCUUCCUUAUUUCCUUCUCCAUCUAUUGCCUUUCAUAUAAUUUCACUAAUUUACAAUGAUGGUCUGGAUUGAUUGCUUUUCUCUUCCUGGCUUUAGGGACAGUUUUGUUCAUCUGUAUCUUGGAGAUACAUGUUACCUGAUGCAUGUUUCAGGUCAUUUCUAAAAUGAGUAAUAUUAGGUUGCAGUUGUUCACAUCAAAAUGCUUGAAGAGUCCAUGAAGAAUCUUAAAGGAUUCUUUAGGAAGGCUGAGCAGAAAAAAGAGGGAUUUUAAAGUAUUAAAGAAGAUGCUAUUUUUUUUUUACCAAAUGGCAGUGUAAAAGAUGCUGCAAAUCAGGAAUCAUCUAUUGCGACUGAGAAGAAAAACACUUUAGAGUUGUCUUGAUUGGAGGACAAGGUCUUCUGCAAUACUCUAGCUAUUUGCAUUCAAUUUAAGAUACUGGCUGCCAUCUAGGAAACUGUCAUGCAUAACUAACUACAGCGCAAAGGUCUUCAGGCUGAUAGGUCAGCUCAGCCUUUGAUAUUUCUGCUGAGGUCCUGCGCAGCAUUGCAUUUGAACUAGUUAAGGGGUGCUGCUACCUAAUUCAGCCAGUUCAUUUGGGCGUGCCUGAAAAUCCCUUUCUGGGCUUGCACAAAGCUUGUGUGGGGCUGUCUGCAUAUAUAGUGUAGACAUGCCAUUAAAGUUAUGUUAAUACGCCUUCUGGUGGUAAUGUGUGUUGAGUAAAAUAAUUCUGAGCUAGCUUUUUGCUCAUCAAGGUGCGAUCUUCAAAUAUGAAUAUCCAGAACGCAUUUAGAAAAAAAUCUCAUGGUUUUUGAUCUCAGACUGUCUCACAAAGCUGUCUUAGUUGAAAAUUUUGAAAACUGUGCCGCAGCAGUGGGAAAGCACUUAAAAUAAAAUUCUUAAAUAACAUUUUGAAUUAUUACAUGAUACCUGAAUUUUUCCAUAACUCUGUCUAUGAACUAUUAGUGCUGACAGAAAGAACCAUAUACUGUGGGAAUGAAAAUCUGAAUUAUUAUCAGGUAUUUUUUGCAUAAGAAAUCCCAAAAUAGUUUGUAAUAUGAAUGGGAAUAUUACUUGGUUACUCUCAGCAUGCUCCCUUUCCCAAUCCCCUGCUCUGAAAAGCCUAGUAAAAAUUUCAGUAGAAGAGGCAGAAAAGUUAACAGAUACGUAGUACUUUGGACCUGUUUGGACAGAACUACCAGCUUCAUCUUGUCUGAAUGGGGAAACAAAACAUAUGU